GACUCCACCACAUCGCAGGAGGCAGCUGGAGGUCUCCCAGGACUAUAAGCCCAGGUGCAAUCCUUGGGAUGUGACGUGUCGGAGCUUUGCAGAGCUGGGGAUGGGCUGAGGUGCUGGUUGAGACACUUCCCUGGCUAGCCAGGCAGCCAGCACGGCCUGUACACGGCUGCUGACUGCCCCCAAAUCUUCAUCGGAGCAUAAAUGCAGAUGCGGUGGGUGGCAAACCAGCGGCGACAUCGCUUCCAAGCAGGGGUCAGUGGUCAGAGACCGGGGGCUGGUUAGCCUGGAGACAUGCAGACUGAGGGGGGAUGUUCUCAAUGCCGAUCAGCAGCUAAAAGAUGGAGUUGUACAGGGGCAUUCAACCGUUCUCUGCCUCGGGAUGGCCGCGACCCUGACCGCCCAGGCACCACCCACAGCCCUCCCACCAGCCUCAGCUCCUUCACCCAUGGAUGCCAAGACCAAGCCUUGGCUGUGCCUCUGCUUUUGCUCCUUAUCACCCUGGUUUUUAUUCCUCCUAAUCAUUUCAGAGUCUCUGCUUACUCCAAACAUGAGCCUGAGGGCCUCAAGCUGCUAUUUGGGAAUUAGAAGGGAGGGAAGGAAAAAAAAAAAAGGCAGGAAGAAACAAGGCAAAAAAAGGCCUGGAUCUGCAAACCAGCAGUGAUGGGCGGGGGCACCUCAGCUUAUGGCUUUUAAUUCCCUCUGCCCCAAUACAUGUGAGGGAUUAGACAAGGCACAGGCAACAGCCAGAGCCUUGCUGUGCCUAAUGCUCUCCUGUGUUUCUGCUGGGGGAACCUAAAUGGGAGAAUAAAAACCACUUUAUGUGCAACAAGGAUGCAGCCUCAGAGGGUUGCAACUGGGCUUUUUUACUGAUGUUUUGGAUUGGAUCAAUUAAAGGAGCUGAUUGUAAGAUAGGACCCAAAGAGCAGCAUUGUGCC